rnacentral:rRNA from 1 species
UACGAAGGGGGCUAGCGUUGUUCGGAAUUACUGGGCGUAAAGCGCAAGUAGGCGGAUUGUUAAGUCAGGGGUGAAAUCCCGGGGCUCAACCCCGGAACUGCAUUCGAUACUGCUGCGCUAGAGUAAUGGAGAGGAGAUUGGAAUUUACGGUGUAGCAGUGAAAUGCGUAGAUAUCGUAAGGAAGACCAGUGGCGAAGGCGGAUCUCUGGACAGUUACUGACACUGAGGCACGAAGGCCAGGGGAGCAAACGGG